rfam:Zea mays cultivar B73 chromosome 1, whole genome shotgun sequence.
ACGUGCCGGUGAUGAUUCACGCAAUUGGUGAAUUCUGGAUGAAUGUUCUGGUGCACAGGCAUGGUGAUAUGCACUUCCAAAGCGUCCAUCUGAGGCACUC